rnacentral:lncRNA from 1 species
CCAGGCUGGUCUUGAACUCGUGACCUCGUGAUCUACCCACCUUGGCCUCCCAGUGCUGGGAUUACAAUCAUGAGCCACCACGCCUGGCCGAAGUUAAAUAACUUCUACAACAGGCGUGAAUUUUACAGUCCCAAAACCCAGAUGUGCAAACAUAAAACCCCCUUUUUUUUUAAAAACUGACUUAGAUCACAAGACCCACUUCCACAAAUGGAAAAAUAUCUUACUGCCAAUUCAAGGAAAACGCAGACAUUUCUGGGAUUUCUUUCUUAGUUUCUUUGGGUAAAUAGGAAGUCAAUAUGGAAUUCAUACUCUCUCUUAUUUCCUUCUGUUCUCUCCAUCACUCCCUAAAUCUGGGGGCAACAGGUACAGCAGCUUGAGCUGCAGAAAAGAAAGAAAGGAUUCUCUCAGUUCUCUCAAGGAGACUGUCUAGAACAGCAGACUGUUCUAAUCUUGAUUACAAAUAAUCAAGUAAAUGCCCAAUUGUAAUAUAGUGUUUUCGUCUCCUAUUCCAAGCAAGUAGCCAGGCUAAUUGCCGCCUUACUUCAGGGAAGUCUGUGGCAGAAGCUUGAAAGCAAAUGACCUACUACACCUGCUUGUGUCCUGGUCUUCAAGAGCUUGGGUUCCUGAAGUGGAUUAUGCUGGAGGAACACAGGUAGAAGCAGAAGUAACAAAGGAGAGAAGGAGACUGCCCUACUGCCCUAUACCAGGAAGGUGUGGUGGUUUCCACAAUCAUCAAGGGGCCUGUGUCCUACUUCUAGCAGAACCUGGGGAAGAAGACAAGGAUUCUGCGGAGCCUAACUGUGUGGUGAAGCUAGGGAGGCUGUACCCUUGGCAACAGGGCUUCCAUUGUGAAGAAAGAUGCCUGCAGGCCAAGAAGAGCAGAGAAACAGAGUCACUGCCAUUCAACAGUUCAUGACAACUUCAACAAUAGGGCCACCAUAAUGAGCCAAAAAUUAGGAGCAAUUCUCCUGUGUUUUAAGGAACCACAAAGUCUCUGAGAGACUGAAGAAGAGAGAACACCCAAAUGACAAAUUAAAUUUACCUCCAGCAAGGUGGGAUUAAGGCUCACAGAAAUAUCCAGCACACUCUCCUCACAUCUACUGGGGUCCAAGGCCUCAACAGCACAGUCUCCUCAACCUGCUGCUCCAGACAUUUCGCUUUUCUUCCUCUGCUUGAAUCCUACAAUCGCAAUGCUUUCCUGCCUCUGUGUUUGCUUGGAAUUUUUUGUCCUUUGGCAAUUUAAUGCUUGUAUUCAUCCAUUUAAUAAUAAGUGCCCAUCUUUUCUAUCUUCAAAUACUUGCCCUUCAUAAGGUUCUCCCUGACCCCUCUGAAAAGCCAUAAUUUCCUCCUUUACAUCUCCAAGUUUUGUACUUCUCUUGGGACAUUUACCCUGUACUACUUUUUGUUAUCAUUUCACAUCUGCUCCUCCCAACAUCUUAAACAUUUAUUGAACAUCUACUAAGCAUCCUAAAGACAGUGACUGUUUCCCAAGUACCUAGCAUAACACCAUAUGCCAUUGACCUUAGGACACUAAACUGAACAGAGCACAGAGCCUGUCCUCAAAGUUCUCAAAGUCUAUGUAUCAUGCUCAGGGAUCACAGGAUUGUAUGUAGUAACUUCUCAGCCUUUGUUGAUCUUGAUUGUCAGCACUUUAAAGCUCCAUUCAGCUACUUAUGUAAAAUUUAAGCAAAAUGAGGAAGAUAAUUUCGUUGGAGAGAAAGCUUCUGGAUGCUUCAGAAUAUGCCACCUCACCUGAAUGGUAACCAUUACACUUGUAAAUAAGAUAAAAUAGCAAGAAAAAUAUAAACAUAUGCUUUGAUUAUUUCCUUUUUGAAAAUCAAUAAGAUCAUUUUUAUUUUCAAAGAAAAUGUGCAAAUAAAAAUAUUGUUACCACUUAUUUGAAAUCCAUGAAAAAUGCUGAGGUGAAGGAACUGUUGUCCAAAAACUGCUUUCUCUUCCCGGGCUUACUUCCUUUGCCUUCAUUGUUUUCUGCUGCCACUCCUGCUUUGGAAUUUGCUGUUAUGUGUAAUAAACUCCAUCACAGUGUCUGUGGAUAAA